UGGGGAAUAUUGGACAAUGGGCGAAAGCCUGAUCCAGCCAUGCCGCGUGUUUGAAGAAGGUCUUCGGAUUGUAAAGCACUUUAAGUUGGGAGGAAGGGCAGUAAGCGAAUACCUUGCUGUUUUGACGUUACCGACAGAAUACGCACCUGCUAACUCUGUGCCAGCAGCCGCGGUAAUACAGAGGGUGCAAGCGUUAAUCGGAAUUACUGGGCGUAAAGCGCGCGUAGGUGGUUCGUUAAGUUGAAUGGGAAAGACGCGGGCUCAACCAAGGAACAGCAUCCAAAACUGGCGAGCUAGAGAAGGGCAGAGGGUGGUGGAAUGUCCUGUGUAGGGGUGAAAAGCGUAGAUAUAGGAAGGAAAACCAGUGGCGAAGGGGAACACCUGGGCUAAAACUGACAAUGAGAUGCGAAAGCGUGGGGAGCAAACAGG
rnacentral:rRNA from 1 species